rnacentral:rRNA from 1 species
CUUGGUCAUUUAGAGGAAGUAAAAGUCGUAACAAGGUUUCCGUAGGUGAACCUGCGGAAGGAUCAUUAUCGAAUUUUAAAGAUGUGCUGGCACUCCUUCACCGGUUUGCAUGUGCACUCUACAAAUCUCCUUCUCUUACCCCACUGUGCACACCCAAGUAGACAAACAGAGUUACAGAGCAAUCUGUGUAAUUCCUGAUUUGCCUAUGUUUUUAUCAAACACCAAUAACAUUUUCAGAAUGAUCUAUAUAGUAAGCUUUUAACAAGCUGAAAUUUGAUACAACUUUCAACAAUGGAUCUCUUGGUUCUCGCAUCGAUGAAGAACGCAGCGAAUUGCGAUAUGUAAUGUGAAUUGCAGAAUUCAGUGAAUCAUCGAAUCUUUGAACGCACCUUGCACCCUCUGGCAUUCCGGAGGGUAUGCCUGUUUGAGUGUCAUUAAUCUCUCAACGCAAGAAACUUUGUCUUCUUGUGCUUGGAUAUUGAAGGUUUUGCUGGCGCAAACAACUGUCAGCUCCUUUUAAAUGUAUCAGCAGAGCAGUAUGGGACUGGCCUCAGUUUGAUAAGAAACUUUAUCUAUGCUGUCGCUGGGUUUUCCUCUUUGUGCUCAGCUUCAAAUUGUCUUCGGACUGUCUCUUGAGGCAACAAAAUUUCUAUUGAUCGACCUCAAAUCAGGUAGGACUACCCGCUGAACUUAAGCAUAUCAAUAAGCGGAGGA